ensembl:lincRNA G730013B05Rik RIKEN cDNA G730013B05 gene
CAUUUCUUUCUUAUUUUCCCGGCGUCUUAAUUAUCACCAGCGGGAUGGACAGGAAGAAAAGUCUGGAAGACACAUUUAGGAACUUUGUCAUCGAUGCAGUUGUUUCCUGAUAACGGAUGGAGUGCCUGCUGUAUUGAGAUUAUGGGUGUGGGCCACAGUGCCCAGCCAGAUGUAUCUUCUAAUCCACCAAGGGAAUCUGAACUGUUAAUUAAUUGUUAAUUGUUAAAACAUUGCUGGGCAAAAUAGCCCCGACAUGCCGCUUGAAGCACCUGGGCAGCUCAGACAUGAACUUCCUAAACCAUGAAAAACAAGACAACAAAGAGGAUGGAAGACAGGGAGGAAAAAGUCAUCAAAGGAAAGCAGCGAGAAACUGAGAAACUGGUGUGUACUGGAUCAGAGUGAAUAAGCAGAUGUGGUUGGAAGCAUACUAUUGAUGAAAAUCACCUCAGCUAAUAGACGUAGCUCAACCAAAACAUUGGCUUACACAAUUUGCUGGAAUUCUCUGUCUUCCACUAGCGGGCUUCAGCAGAAGAUCUGAACUCUCAGCUCCCUUGAUGAUAAUGGACUGAACCUCUGAACCUGUAAGCCAGCCCCAAUUAAAUGUUGUCCUUAUAAGAGUUGCCUUGGUCAUGGUGUCUGUUCACAGCAGUGAAACCCUAGCUAAGAGAGUGAAUUCAGAUGUAGAAAUCUCCUUCGUCAGCAUCAUGUCUGCCUGCACGCUGCUGUGCUUUCCUCCGUGAUGACACGGAUUGAUCCUCUGAAACUGUAAACCAGCCCCAAUCAAACGCUUUUUAAUACAAGAGUUGCCAUGGUAAUGUGUUUCUUCAUAGCAAUAGGUCGCUAAGACCAGUGGUGUCUUGUUUUCCUGGUUAUUCAUGUUUCUUAGAGUCUUUUGUAGUUAUCUGUACAUUUGCACAAGAGAUUCUUUCCUCCAGGGUUUAUCAACUAUCUCUGACAUAGUGAUUAACUUUACCUCUGAGCUGGGGUGCAUUAAAGCAUACUUUGACUCUAAACCUAGUGAGCCAGGGCACGUGUGGAGGCUUUCAGUUCAGAGGGUAAUGAAUGUGUCUAUCAGCUCACACAGCUGGUAUCCAAAGUGUUGACAACUUGGCAGUCCUAUGCUGCGAGGACUGUUAGGGAUCCAGUGGCAAGGGCAGCAAUGGAGACAUGGGACACUCAGAUGCGUACACUUGGCCUCAAAGGCCAGCUGCAGGUAUCUGCUGGGUGACAAGUUUGGUGGCAGGCAAGUGCACAGCGGGAAAGUUUAGAGCACGAGAGGCUCAGAAGCCAUAGCUUGUAAAGGCAAAUAAAGACUCUUGGCUACAGAUUAAUGGAGUCCUCUUUGGAGCAAUGUUUUAAUUCUGUCACAUUAAAUAUUGUGAGUCCUCAGUGGUGAAAGUGUGAGGAGUUUGCAGCAGCUCCUGGGUCUGUUAAGUUUCCAGCAAAGAUGGCUCCAGAGUCCUCUUCUGAGGAGACUCUAAGGACAGCCAAGUCACAUACUCUAUUGCUGUCUCUUUUGCUCCGAGCUAUUUCCAGAUGCAUACUAUGCCAUUCUUCCUUAGUGAUCUGGGGAGAUCACCAGGCGAGUCUUUGAAAAGGUGUUCUGAAAGUUUGUGGGAUAUGGCUGUUCACCCAGCCUUUCUUUUUCUUAAGAGGGCAGUUCAUGGGCUGGUUAGUUUCUUCUCAGCCAGGGUAGUGAUGGGUUGGGGAGAGGUGUGUGAGUCAGGCAAAAUGAACCAUUUGCCCAUUGUUUUGAGGCAUUUUACUUGGGCGUUCUUCCUCCACCAUAUGUCUAUAUCUUUUACAAUGAUCCCCCCCCCCAAUACUUCCAGAGAUAUUUACCUUCCUCGAUAGUUCAUUUGGUGGGGAGGGAGAAUGUUGUAAAAUCUGAUAUCUUACUCCAAUGUAUUGCUGUCAUCGAUUGCUACUGCCUGAUUGGAAAGCGUGACUCUAAAUCCCAGCCCUGCCUAUAACUCCAGUUUCAGUGAGUUUGGCACCCUCUCUUGGUCUUUAAAGCUCUUGCACAUACUCUCUUGUACACGUGCUCAUAAACUCAUGCAGGCUCGAACAGGUUCACAUAACUG